GUCUCAUUCUGUCGCCCAGGCUGGAGUACAGUGGUGCAAUCUCGGCUCACUGCAACCUCCGCCUCCCGGGUUCAACCGAUUGUCCUGCCUCAGCUUCCCGAGUAACUGGAACAACAGGCGCCCGCCACCUCGCCUGGCUAAUAUUUGUAUUUUUAUUAGAGACGGGGUUUCACCAUAUUGGCCAGGCUGCUCUCAAACUCUUGACCUCGUGAUCCACCAGCCUCGGCCUCCCAAAGUGUGGGGAUUACAGGCUUGAGCCACUGCACCCGGCCUGUAAUUUCUAUCUCUGAAAGAUCGGUCUGCACCAUUGUCUGGAAAUUUUGUUUGCUGAAGCAGUUGCUGUAGUCCUUCAUCCCCUUCACCGUGGCUGCUCUUCCUGUAUAUGGAUAUGGAUGCUUUACUGCUGUGCUUGUAUCCAAGCUGGCACUGGAUCGUGCAUAUCUUAUGCUGACUGAAGGUAAUAUAUGGCAGGUCAAAACAGAGAGUCUUUGAAUCCCUUGCUCCAAGCAGAGCUUGAAAUUAAUAGGGCAUCUUGAAUCAAUGAACUGACAUCAUUUGUCAUAUUUUCCUGCCUCUUUGCUUAUUUGGUAAUUUUUAUUGGGUG
rnacentral:lncRNA from 1 species